GGGGCUGUAGCUCAGUUGGGAGAGCACCUGCUUUGCAAGCAGGGGGUCGGCGGUUCGAAACCGCUCAGCUCCACCA
rnacentral:tRNA from 1 species